rnacentral:rRNA from 1 species
UACGUAGGGUGCAAGCGUUGUCCGGAAUUAUUGGGCGUAAAGAGCUCGUAGGCGGUCUGUCGCGUCUGCUGUGAAAACUCAGGGCUUAACCCUGAGCUUGCAGUGGGUACGGGCAGACUAGAGUGCGGUAGGGGGAGACUGGAAUUCCUGGUGUAGCGGUGAAAUGCGCAGAUAUCAGGGAGGGAACACCGGUGGGCGAAAGGCGGGUCUCUGGGCCGUAACUGACG